rnacentral:rRNA from 1 species
GGACGAACGCUGGCGGCGUGCCUAAUACAUGCAAGUCGAGCGGACCGACGGGAGCUUGCUCCCUUAGGUCAGCGGCGGACGGGUGAGUAACACGUGGGUAACCUGCCUGUAAGACUGGGAUAACUCCGGGAAACCGGGGCUAAUACCGGAUGCUUGAUUGAACCGCAUGGUUCAAUCAUAAAAGGUGGCUUUYAGCUACCACUUACAGAUGGACCCGCGGCGCAUUAGCUAGUUGGUGAGGUAACGGCUCACCAAGGCGACGAUGCGUAGCCGACCUGAGAGGGUGAUCGGCCACACUGGGACUGAGACACGGCCCAGACUCCUACGGGAGGCAGCAGUAGGGAAUCUUCCGCAAUGGACGAAAGUCUGACGGAGCAACGCCGCGUGAGUGAUGAAGGUUUUCGGAUCGUAAAACUCUGUUGUUAGGGAAGAACAAGUACCGUUCGAAUAGGGCGGYACCUUGACGGUACCUAACCAGAAAGCCACGGCUAACUACGU